AAACCGUGUUGCUGACACUUCCGCAAUAGGUCCUUGAAUCGCUCCCAUGUCUCAAACAAUGAUUCGAGCUCCAUCUUUAUUAAUAAGGAUAUCUCAUUACUAAGUCU